AAAGUUGUGCGUUCGUCUGGGUACACUGAUUCGUAAUCAGUAGGUCGGUGGUUCGACUCCACUCAACAGCACCA
rnacentral:tRNA from 1 species